rnacentral:hammerhead_ribozyme from 21 species
UAGCAGUAGGGGCAGCAGCUGUAAGCCCCCUGAUGAGAACUGUCGUGACUUGUGAGUUUGAAACUGCUG